rnacentral:rRNA from 1 species
GCUCAGUAACACGUGGACAAUCUGCCCUUGGGUUCAGCAUAACCCCGGGAAACUGGGGAUAAUUCUGAAUAGAUCACAUAUGCUGGAAUGCUUUGUGAUUUAAAGAUCCGUCGCCCAAGGAUGGGUCUGCGGCCUAUCAGGUAGUAGUGGGUCUAGAGUACCUACUAGCCAACGACGGGUACGGGUUGUGAGAGCAAGAGCCCGGAGAUGGAUUCUGAGGCAUUAAUCCAGGCCCUACGGGGCGCAGCAGGCGCGAAACCUUUACACUGCGGGAAACCGCGAUAAGGGGACACCGAGUGCCAGCAUACAAUGCUGGCUGUCCACAUGUGUAAAUAGCAUGUGAUAGCAAGGGCCGGGCAAGACCGGUGCCAGCCGCCGCGGUAACACCGGCGGCCCGAGUGGUAAUCACUAUUAUUGGGUCUAAAGGGUCCGUAGCCGGUUUAAUCAGUCUUCCGGGAAAUCUGACAGCUCAACUGUUAGGCUUCCGGGGGAUACUGUUAGACUUGGGACCGGGAGAGGUAAGAGGUCCUACAGGGGUAGGAGUGAAAUCUUGUAAUCCCUGUGGGACCACCAGUGGCGAAGGCGUCUUACCAGAACGGGUCCGACGGUGAGGGACGAAAGCUGGGGGCACGAACCGGAGUAGAUACCCGGGUAGUCCCAGCCGUAAACGAUGCUCGCUAGGUGUCUGGCAUGGUGCGACCGUUUCAGGUGCCGCAGGGAAGCCGUGAAGCGAGCCACCUGGGAAGUACGGCCGCAAGGUUGAAACUUAAAGGAAUUGGCGGGGGAGCACUACAACGGGUGGAGCCUGCGGUUUAAUUGGACUCAACGCCGGACAACUCACCGGGGGCGACAGCAACAUGUAGGUCAAGCUAAAGACUUUACCUGAAUCGCUGAGAGGAGGUGCAUGGCCGUCGUCAGUUCGUACUGUGAAGCAUCCUGUUAAGUCAGGCAACGAGCGAGACCCGUGCCCACUGUUGCCAGCAUAUCCUCUUUGGAUGAUGGGUACUCUGUGGGGACCGCCGAUGCUAAAUCGGAGGAAGGUGCGGGCUACGGUAGGUCAGUAUGCCCCGAAUCUCCCGGGCGACACGCGGGCUACAAUGGUUGGGACAAUGGGCUCCUACACUGAAAAGUGACGGUAAUCUCAUAAACCCAGCCGUAGUUCGAAUUGAGGGCUGAAACCCGCCC